GGUCGCGAAGUAGGGUGGCGGCUUCGGCUGUCGAGGGGUCGAUCCAUUUGGGAACUUGUGUCUCUGCGGCGCGCUUCGGUGUGCUGCGGGUGGCAUCUCAAU
rnacentral:rRNA from 1 species